rnacentral:rRNA from 1 species
UACGAAGGGUGCAAACGUUGCUCGGAAUUAUUGGGCGUAAAGCGCACGUAGGCGGCUCUGCAAGUCGGAUGUGAAAUCCCUCGGCUCAACCAAGGAAGUGCAUCCGAAACUGCGGAGCUUGAGUACUUAAGAGGAUCGCGGAAUUCCCGGUGUAGAGGUGAAAUUCGUAGAUAUCGGGAGGAACAUCAGUGGCGAAGGCGGCUACCUGGCUGACAACUGACGCUGAGACUCGAAAGCAUGGGGAGCAAACAGG